AUUAUACCCCCUCCGUCCGAAAAUACUUGUGAUCAAAAUGGAUAAAAAAAAGAUAUAUCUAGAACUAAAAUACGUCUAGAUACAUCUUUUUUUAUCCAUUUUGAUGACAAGUAUUUCCAGACGGAGGGAGUAGCUA
rnacentral:pre_miRNA from 1 species